AGCUCCAAUAGCGUAUAUUAAAGUUGUUGCGGUUAAAAAGCUCGUAGUUGGAUCUCAGUUCCAGACGGGUGGUCCGCCUACCGGUGGUUACUGCCUGUUCUGAGCAUUGCCGCCGAGAUUGUCCGAUGAUCUUCACCGGUUGUCGUUCGGUCUCGGCAAUUUUACUUUGAAAAAAUUAGAGUGCUCAAAGCAUGCGUGACGCAUGAAUAAUGGUGCAUGGAAUAAUGGAAUAGGACCUCGGCUCUAUUUUGUUGGUUUUCGGAACACGAGGUAAUGAUUAAGAGGGACAGACGGGGGCAUUCGUAUUGCGACGCUAGAGGUGAAAUUCUUGGACCGUCGCAAGACGAACUACUGCGAAAGCAUUUGCCAAGAAUGUUUCCA
rnacentral:rRNA from 1 species